rnacentral:tRNA from 1 species
GGCGGCUGGACCGGCUCGGCGACUGGGACCGCGUCCUCGACGCGGUCCGGUUCUCCAGCGACUGGAACGCGCCGUUCCUGGCCGGCGACCUACCACC